UACGGGGGGAGCAAGCGUUGUUCGGAUUUACUGGGCGUAAAGGGCGCGUAGGCGGUCAGCACAAGUCAGUUGUGAAAUCUCCGGGCUUAACUCGGAAAGGUCAACUGAUACUGUGCGACUAGAGUGCAGAAGGGGCAACUGGAAUUCUCGGUGUAGCGGUGAAAUGCGUAGAUAUCUGGAGGAACACCGGUGGCGAAGGCGGCAUCCUGGACCACGACUGACGCUGAGGAGCGAAAGCCAGGGGAGCAAACGGG
rnacentral:rRNA from 1 species